rnacentral:rRNA from 1 species
UGCAAGUCGAACGCGAAAGUCCCCUUCGGGGGGCGAGUAGAGUGGCGCACGGGUGAGUAACACGUAGGUAAUCUACCUUUGGAUUGGGAAUAACCACCGGAAACGGAGGCUAAUACCGAAUAAUGCAGCGGCACCUAAUGGUGACAGUUGUUAAAGCGGGGGAUCGCAAGACCUCGCGUCUGAAGAGGAGCCUGCGGCAGAUUAGCUAGUUGGUAAGGUAACGGCUUACCAAGGCGAUGAUCUGUAGCCGGCCUGAGAGGGCGGUCGGCCACACUGACACUGACAUACGGGUCAGACUCCUACGGGAGGCAGCAGUCGGGAAUUUUGGGCAAUGGGCGAAAGCCUGACCCAGCAACGCCGCGUGAAGGAUGAAAUCCCUCGGGAUGUAAACUUCGCAAGAACGGGAAGAAUAAGUAAGGGUUAAUAUCUCUUACGAUGACGGUACUGUUUGUAAGCUCCGGCUAACUCCGUGCCAGCAGCCGCGGUAAUACGGGGGGAGCAAGCGUUGUUCGGAUUUACUGGGCGUAAAGGGCGCGUAGGCGGCCACCGCAAGUCGACUGUGAAAUCUCCGGGCUUAACCCGGAAAGGUCAGCCGAUACUGCGGGGCUAGAGUGCAGAAGGGGCAACUGGAAUUCUCGGUGUAGCGGUGAAAUGCGUAGAUAUCGAGAGGAACACCUGCGGCGAAGGCGGGUUGCUGGGCUGACACUGACGCUGAGGCGCGAAAGCUAGGGGAGCGAACGGGAUUAGAUACCCCGGUAGUCCUAGCCUUAAACGAUGAAUGCUUGGUGUCU